AUUGAACGCUGGCGGCAGGCCUAACACAUGCAAGUCGAACGGUAACAGGAAGCAGCUUGCUGCUUCGCUGACGAGUGGCGGACGGGUGAGUAAUGUCUGGGAAGCUGCCUGAUGGAGGGGGAUAACUACUGGAAACGGUAGCUAAUACCGCAUAAUGUCGCAAGACCAAAGAGGGGGACCUUCGGGCCUCUUGCCAUCGGAUGUGCCCAGAUGGGAUUAGCUUGUUGGUGGGGUAACGGCUCACCAAGGCGACGAUCCCUAGCUGGUCUGAGAGGAUGACCAGCCAAACUGGAACUGAGACACGGUCCAGACUCCUACGGGAGGCAGCAGUGGGGAAUAUUGCACAAUGGGCGCAAGCCUGAUGCAGCCAUGCCGCGUGUAUGAAGAAGGCCUUCGGGUUGUAAAGUACUUUCAGCGGGGAGGAAGGGAGUAAAGUUAAUACCUUUGCUCAUUGACGUUACCCGCAGAAGAAGCACCGGCUAACUCCGU
rnacentral:rRNA from 1 species